AACGAACGCUGGCGGCAUGCCUAACACAUGCAAGUCGAACGAUGCCUUCGGGCAUAGUGGCGCACGGGUGCGUAACGCGUGGGAAUCUGCCUUUCGGUUCGGAAUAACUCAGGGAAACUUGAGCUAAUACCGGAUAACGUCGCAAGACCAAAGAUUUAUCACCGAAAGAUGAGCCCGCGUAGGAUUAGCUAGUUGGUGAGGUAAAGGCUCACCAAGGCGACGAUCCUUAGCUGGUCUGAGAGGAUGAUCAGCCACACUGGGACUGAGACACGGCCCAGACUCCUACGGGAGGCAGCAGUGGGGAAUAUUAGACAAUGGGCGAAAGCCUGAUCCAGCAAUGCCGCGUGAGUGAUGAAGGCCUUAGGGUUGUAAAGCUCUUUUACCCGGGAAGAUAAUGACGGUACCGGGAGAAUAAGCCCCGGCUAACUCCGUG
rnacentral:rRNA from 1 species